CGCAGUGGGGGCACAUCCGGGCAUUGGGGCAGGAUGAAUGCUCCUUUCCAAGAUGGCGGCGGAGGGAGGAGGGAAGGAGAUGAACGAGAUUAAGACCCAGUUCACCACCCGGGAGGGGCUGUACAAGCUGCUGAGCCACUCGGAGUACAGCCGGCCCAACCGGGUGCCCUUCAACUCGCAGGGCUCCAACCCAGUCCGUGUCUCCUUCGUCAACGUCAACGACCAGAGCGGCAACGGCGACCGGCUCUGCUUCAAUGUGGGCCGGGAGCUCUACUUCUACAUCUACAAGGGGGUCCGCAAGGCUGCUGACUUGAGUAAACCAAUAGACAAAAGGAUAUACAAAGGAACGCAACCUACGUGUCAUGACUUCAAUCACUUAACAGCCACAGCAGAAAGUGUCUCUCUACUAGUGGGUUUCUCUGCAGGCCAGGUCCAACUUAUAGACCCUAUUAAAAAAGAAACUAGCAAAUUAUUUAAUGAGGAAAGACUAAUAGACAAGUCCAGAGUAACCUGUGUAAAAUGGGUACCAGGUUCGGAAAGCCUUUUCCUAGUAGCUCAUUCCAGUGGAAAUAUGUACUUAUAUAAUGUGGAGCACACUUGUGGUACCACAGCCCCACACUACCAGCUACUUAAGCAAGGAGAAGGUUUUGCAGUCCACACUUGCAAGAGUAAAUCCACAAGAAAUCCUCUACUUAAAUGGACCGUAGGCGAGGGUGCCCUGAAUGAAUUUGCUUUUUCCCCCGAUGGGAAAUUUUUGGCAUGUGUGAGCCAAGAUGGCUUUCUUCGUGUGUUUAACUUUGAUUCAGUGGAGUUACAUGGUACAAUGAAAAGCUACUUUGGGGGACUACUAUGUGUGUGUUGGAGCCCAGAUGGGAAAUACAUUGUAAUAGGUGGAGAGGAUGACUUGGUAACGGUUUGGUCUUUUGUGGACUGUCGAGUAAUAGCUAGAGGCCACGGACAUAAAUCAUGGGUUAGUGUUGUGGCAUUUGACCCAUAUACCACUAGUGUAGAAGAGAGUGACCCAAUGGAAUUUAGUGGUAGUGAUGAGGAUUUCCAAGACCUUCUUCAUUUUGGUAGAGAUCGAGCAAAUAGUACACAAUCUAGGUUAUCAAAAAGGAACUCUACAGACAGUCGUCCAGUAAGUGUUACGUAUAGGUUUGGUUCUGUAGGCCAAGACACACAACUCUGUUUGUGGGACCUUACAGAAGAUAUUCUCUUCCCUCACCAACCUCUAUCAAGAGCAAGGACACACACAAAUGUUAUGAAUGCCACAAGUCCACCUGCAGGAAGUGGUGGAACUAAUUCAGGAAGUAAUGGGAACAGUAUCACAACACCUGGAAACUCAGUUCCUCCUCCUCUUCCACGGUCAAACAGCCUUCCACAUUCUGCAGUCUCAAAUGCCGGCAGUAAAAGCAGUGUCAUGGAUGGUGCCAUUGCUGCUGGUGUUAGUAAGUUUGCAACCUUAUCGCUACAUGAUCGGAAAGAAAGACACCAUGAAAAAGAUCACAAGAGAAAUCAUAGCAUGGGACAUAUAUCUAGCAAGAGCAGUGACAAACUGAACCUAGUUACUAAAACCAAAACAGACCCAGCUAAAACUUUGGGAACACCUCUCUGUCCCAGAAUGGAAGAUGUUCCCUUGUUAGAGCCUCUUAUCUGUAAAAAGAUAGCACAUGAAAGACUGACUGUGUUAAUUUUUCUUGAAGACUGUAUAGUCACUGCUUGUCAGGAGGGAUUUAUUUGCACAUGGGCAAGGCCUGGUAAAGUGUAGGGGUUCCUGGAUACUUGGAUCCAAGCAAGAAAGAGCUCCUAUAGACUCUGAAGAUGUCACUAAUUCUGCAUUCCUAUUGUUAGUUGCAUCUGAUCUUGUCUAGCUUGAUGGAUCUGAGUCACAGGAACACAAUUUAGAGGGUUUAUUGUCAUCCCAAAACCAGGCCAAUUCUCCAAGUGGAACUGUAGUAUAGCCAUCACACUACUGCUAGCGAAUCUUUGAACACAGGACAAGAAGUAAUGACAGUGGAACCAGGAGCUGUUCUUCAUGCAGAGAGCAUCAGAAAUUAUAAAAUGGCAGAGUGUAAACUUGGAAUUAUGUGAAUCACAUAAUACUUUGCAAAAGAAUAAUGUAAUGAAUUCUUAGUAUGGCUAAUACUUCUAGGCUGCUCACCCAAAGAAGAAUUUUCCUUUUAAAAAAGAAAUGCUACAUUUGGUGUUGCAGUAAAAAUUAUUUUUUCUCAGUUUUUUCUUUAUACUUUUCCAGUUUGGUGUAAUUUAAUCUAUAUAUAUAUAGAGAGAGAGAGAGAGAGAGAGAUGUGUAAAAUAAAGGAUGUUUCUGAAAUCCAAGUAAGUUCAAUGGUUAUAUAAAUCACCAUUGUUUGUUUUUUGCACUGAUUUUUUUUUUUUUAACCAGAGAUGGUUAGAAGACAGCCUGGAAUGCACUCAUGGAAAACUAAAGUCAUUACUUUCUGGCUUAAAAAUGUAAUUCAGGAAGAUGGAUGCUGCAAUGUUUUUUUGUUUUUGUUUUUUUUAAAUUGUUUGCACUUAAAUAGUUUAAUGCUAGUAGAGAAUUACUUUAAAAUGGGUAUUCAGAAACACAGAAAAGCUAUGUUGUGGAGAAAAGAUAUCCUUUGUAUCUAUGAAACAUUUAUUUUAAUAUUGUUUCCAAUUGCAAUCAGCUCUGUAUUAUAUGUAUAAAUGUAAUUCAAUGAUUGGGAGGAAAAUGGAUCAGUACACUAGUAAUUUUCAUCAUCUAAAAGAUAUUUCUAAUUCUGAAAAUACAUAUUAAACUAUCUUGAAUAUGCAGUUUUGUUUACGUUGUUUUAAAUUGGAUCAAUUUUUGAUGUAAUCAAUCUUUUGAAUUAAAUGUUGGGUACAGAAGUACACUCUAAUCCUUGUAAAACACAUUCCUUUUUAUUAAAACCUUUUGCAUCAGCAGAUGCAUAUUUAAUGUUGCUUAAUUGGAUUAGGGAAAUGAAAUUAGAAAUUUUCUCCUGCACUUCUUCCUAUUACAAUUUACCUCUGAAUACAUUUUCCAGACAUUAAAACCCAAUAUUUACUAAAAUAGGAGCCUCAGAUUUUUGCAGUAUAGUGAUUUCUUCUGAUGCCUUUUAAUAGUUGCAUUUUAGUGCAGUUUAAUUCUGCACUUGUCUAAAAAUUAGAUGUUUUAAUCUUAAUUGUUGAAUUGCAUUGACUUUCAAGCUAGUGCGUUUUAUGUAGACAACUAUGAUAGUGUAGUAGGUGCAUACACUUUGAUUUUUACAAUCUAAAAUUAGGUACUAAAAUAGUGGAGUAGAUUGUAUUUUGGAACAACUUGCUGUGCUAAAAAAAUCAGAUGUCCUUGCUAUCAAUUUAAAAUUUGAGGUAAAUAUAUCCAAGUAUUUUCAUAAUCUAGUGCUACUUGAUAUUGGUUGAUACUAAACUGGUUUUUAUUAGCAAAACAAAGGCCAUUUCAUCCCUUCCAGUAUUUUCUGCAAGGGGAUGAAAGGAAUGAAGAAUGCGCUACUCUGGAUCAAAAUCCAGCACAAAGGGUGAUUGAGAUGAUAUGGUGACAUCUUCUCACUUCCUCUGCCCUGCUUAAACCCCUUCCAACUCUAUUGUUGGGCUUCUUCUGAACUUUGCAGAUGUGCAGGUAGGAGGUGAUACAAGCAACAGCCUUCUUAGCUCUGCUCUGGGAUUCAUAUCCUUCAAAAUGGAAGAACUUUCCAAAAGUCAGUUUAAUGCUGAUACUGAAGGCAUGAUCUGGGCCUAAAUUACCAACAAACUUUAUCCCAGGUUCCAACAUCUUUGUAUAAAACUUGUAGUUGAACAGAAUUUUCUUUAAUCACAAGAUACUAAUACUCUACUGUCAUUUUAGAAUAAACCACAUAAUUAUACAUAGAAUUAUAGAGUUAGAAAGGGACUAUAAGGCUCAUCUAGUCUAACUUGCCAAGAAAGCAGGUUUGUUGUGUCUAAACCAUCCAAGACCAAUUGCUAUCCAGCUUCCUUUUGAAAGCCUCUAUGAAGGAGCUUCCACAACCUCCCUAGGCAAUCUGUUUCAUUGUCCUAUUGUUAGGAAGUUUUUCCUGAGAUUUAGUCUAAAUCUGUUUGCAACACUGGAGAAGCUCAAACUUUAGCAAGCCUCAUGUGGUUCUACAUAUCAGUUUUAUAAAAGUUAAAGCCUCACUCCUGCUCCCACUGAAGAUAAAUUUUGCUAUUUACUUCAAUGGAAGAAUCAUCAGACCUGUGAUUUAUGCAGUUCAGGUUUAUUUAAUCCUUGAAUAUAAACAAACCAGAUUGAAAAUGUCAGUUUAACAAUCAUUAAAAUUCUAAUUUUACCUUCCUUAUUUAAAUGUCUCCAAAUUUGAUUUAGGUAAAUAUGGAAAUAGUGACACUUGGUUGCAAUAUAUUUUAAAUUCUUAAACUGAUUUUUAAACAUACAGUGGAGACAGAGUAUCCUAUUACCAAAUACUCUGAGCCAGUCACCUUCUGGGUUGUAUUCAGAUCACUAACCAAAUUAGAAAAGACAAAGUUGUUACCGUCUGGCAACCAUUCACUGGUCUAUGUAAAAUGGGCUGGUCUGUGGAUAGCUUUCUUUUAUCAUGACUAACAUUGAUUGGCAUAGAAACAAAGCACUGAAUAGAAACCAAUUUUCUGUCCAUCUUCUGUAAAGGUACUUUGUUUAGAAGAAACUCCUCUUUCCCCAUGUUUAGAAACUUUCAAGGCUGCACCCAAGUCAAAUUCUUUUGCUAAAUAGACUUCAUUUCUUGGUUUUGUUAUUCCCGCACCCUUCACACACCUUGUAGGUAAGAAGUAGACUUGAAAAUAUCACCCUUUCCCUAAAUUAUAUUUUUUAUUCUGACCAUGUUCUGUGAACAUAACAAGCACUUAAAAUAAGGGUGUCAGUCUGUCCUGUUUUCAAGCUGUAAGACUCAUACUUGAAUGAAACUGAUUAUCAUUUUGUCUCAAAACAAGCUUCAAGAAGCAAAGUAACUAGAACAAACAGUUUAAAUACUAUAUUGUUGGGUCAAGUACUUGCAAAAAUUGAUGCCCAAAAGAACUAUUUACAUGUAAUUUUAAAAAAUCCUAUGGGGAGUUUGAAAAUGAAUUGGCUUUCCACCCAAACAUUGCAGAAUUGGACUACUUGCCUGAGAAUUCGAAAGUGAAAUUGACUAGAAAUCAGAAGUGAAUAGAGUAGGUAGUUUUAAACUGACAUGCAAAAAAGUAAACAGCAUAAAUACAGUCACUUUAAUUUGUCCUAUUGCCCUAUUCCAAGUGCUCUGGUAUUCAGAAUAUUAUUUUACAUUUGCACGCAGAGACAAGUAGUCUUAAACCUGAAAUAUUGAAUAUAGUUUUAAUGAUAAAAGGAAUUCUUCAGUGAAAGUGUGGUCACUUGAAAAGAUCUACCUAUUUAAGACUUAUUCAGCAAAACACUUAUGAGCAUAUUUAAUUUGAAGAGACUGGAGCAUGUGCUUAAAAUUAAGCACAUGGGUAAUCAAUCCCUGCUCAACAAAGCACUCAUCACUCUUACCAUGGAAGGAACCCAGUCCUGCACGCCUCAUUCAGAAUGAUCCCAGGAAAUACGCCUUUUACAAAUCUGCUGUUUAACAACAAUUCUAAAGUCAGAUCAUGUAUCUUCUGGGUGUACAUGUUCAACCUCUAGUGUUGAUAAUUCGUAUACGAUACAAAAAAACAAAGCAAGCCCUAACAUUGCACAAUAAAAACAGUGAAUAUCCUAUUUGGAUGAUUUUGUAUUUUGCAUAAGUCAUGUGAUAUGAUUUAAAAUAUUUCAGUGUUUAUAUGGUGUAUUGAUCAGAACAAGACAUUCCUAAAAUUUUAGGAAAAAAAAUCCCCAGAUUUUUAAACAGGAGGAGAAAAUACAUCAUUGCAUAUUGAACACAAGUCAUUUUUUUGCACUAAAGCAAACUGAUUGCUGGAUGAGAGGAAAUUAUAGUAUGGCUUUGCUUGGCAAGCUUACUCUCUAAAAUGGCAUUGUGGGGUUCCAUGUUUCUUCGUUAAUUCCCAAUUUGCUUAUUUUACAAUUGAAGAUUUUUCUAACUCCUAACCUAACAAGCUCAAGCUGGGUUUCCCUAAAUGUUAGCACCCUUUGUAAUGGUUCUGCAAGUCCAAGUAUGCCCUAGUUAUGCAAUCCCCAGAGCUUUCAGGGUUCACAGUGACAUAAUGGACUCUAACUGGAAUUUAGUAAACAGUUCUAGAAAUAGAAUCGAGCUCCCAUUGUUGGCUGUAUUGGUUCUGGGGGUCUAAAAAGAGGUAAAAGCAUAUUGUAGUAUAUGACAAUACACAAAAUCAAAGGUGCAUUUUUACAUAUGUUCAAAUCUGAAGAGACUACACUUAAAUUUUCAUACUUGGAAAUAUGUCACUUCUGAUAACUCGUAUUCAUGCUAAAGCUAGUGAUUGCCACUCUGCCACAUUGACAAAUUGGUGAAAAAGAUAAUUUUGCAUCUGAACAAAAUGAACAAGGUUGGACUUUUAUAUAGAUGAGUCCUUUUUUAAAAAGCUGCAUAUUAAAUUGUCAGAAGUAAAACUAAUGGCUUGCACAGCUCUCUGUAUGUUAAUACAAAUUCCAGGUAGACAAAUGAAGGCAACUGCCAUGCAUAUGAAAUUAAAUAAAGCUGUUUAAAGAUUAACUAACAAAUCAAUGUUGUAUGAGUUUUAUUAGCGCUGUAGCUAAUUUGUUACCUUCCUCAGUUGAAACUUCUGAUGUUUGUAAAGCACUGUAUCUAUUUCAUAACCGCCCUUUGGGAUAUGUGUUACUUAAGCAGCUAUUUUUCAGCAGGCCCUGCCUAUUUUUUCUGGUGGUUAUAGUCAGGUAGGAGCUGUAUAUUUCACUUGCUCUAUCUAGUAGAGCUAAGAAUCACAUUGGAAUAUCCUCUUCACUUAAAUGCCCACUCAACACAGAAAUAAUGGUAUCAAAGAUGGUGAUGUUUUCAUUGUUUAACACUGUUAAACUAGUAAGCUCACAGCAUAAGUUUGAAACACUUUCUAAAGACUGAUGUGAUAAAAUUAAGUUCUCAAGGUGACAUACUGUAGAGAAUGAUUUUCUUAAGUUACUCUUCUUGGAAGCCUCUAGUUUGGCUUUUUCAAAUAGUUUCCUUAAAUAAUGUUUAGAGCAGUGGUUUUUCAUCCUGUGGUCUCUGUAUUCCUGGGGGUCUGCAGACUAAGAUUUCCAAAGGCGUCUGCACUUCCAUUUGAAAUUUUUUAGACGUCCACAAAUGAAAGAAGGUUGAAAACCACUGAUGUAGGGUGUCCUAACAAGUUAAUCUGUUUCAAAAUGCACAACUUAAGUAACAAACCUACUAUGAAAUAGUCAUGAAAGCAGUUUGGUUUCUGGCAUACUUCUCAUUUGUAAUAAUGCUUAGCUGUGACGCAUAAUAGUAAAACCUCAUACAGAUAAUUUCCUGUAAAAUUCCAUGUUUUCUUUUGGAAUGGGAGUGUUACAUGAAAGUAAGUGGUUUACUUAAAUUAUUUAGAAUCACCUUGAGAAAAAACAGCUCUUAGUUAAUUUCAUUUGAUUGUUUCCUAUCUCUUGACACUAGUAGAUUGCUGCUGUGAACUCUGAUCUACAGCAUGAACUUGAAAGAGUAGGACAGAUGUAAGACUUUUAGAACCUGGAGAGACUGUGCUGUUCAUGUCAAAUGGUGAUCAACUUUAUUUUUCAAUUUGAUCUUCUAAUGAGCAGCCUGUAGUGAAAUUUUGCAGCAGAUCAAAUGUUCUGGGGACUUGUAUCCAUCACUCUACUGAACAAGACUGUCCAGUGUAUUCAUCGAACAAGAUAAGCUCAUCAACUUUUAGAAUGUUAAUGCUCCUACAGAGUUGGCCUGUUGCUACUCUAGUUUUUACAGAAGCUUCAUUUCCUUGCUGUAAACAUAUACCUAAAGCCUUUUAUCUUUAAUGGAGAACACAAGUGCCUCUGACACUUCUGCAUUCUUUCAAUCUGACUUGAAUGCUUAACAGGAAGGUCACCCAGCUACUAUAGUAUAGUACAGGGGUAGGCAACCUGCGGCACACAAGCUGAUUUUCAGUGGCACUCACAGUGCCCAGGUCCUGGCCACCGG